rnacentral:ncRNA from 2 species
AUUCCAGAGGUGCAUAUGGCUUAGUCCAUAUCACUCCGGCAGCAAGCGAAGGUGUCGUUGACGCCCGUGGUAUAGUCCCCCCGGCUAUACCACGACAUUUUUUU